ensembl:snRNA U6 U6 spliceosomal RNA
GUGCUCACUUCGGCAGCACAUAUACUAAAAUUGGAACGAUACAGAGAAGAUUAGCAUAGCCCCUGCGCAAGGAUGACACGAAAAUUCAUGAAGUGUUCCAUAUUAAA